rnacentral:misc_RNA from 1 species
AUUCACAUGAACAUCCCUAUUGUACUUAUGAGUUAUGACAAAAAUGGUGCCCGUUUACCAGCUGGCACUUAUUGUCUGAUGAUAAAAAAUCAUCUCUACAAUUUAAUAAUACACACCUGGAAUGGCGACUGUGCUUGAUUCAAUUAAACGUUAUCAGCAUAUUAUAGAAAGUAAUUCAGACGACGAACAUAAAAUUUUAAAAUGCAUAAACAGAUUAUAUCAUUUGGCCGUAACAGUUCAACACUUACAAGAUACAGGUGUGGGACGGACAAUAAAUGCCCUACGAAAAGACCCUGGAGCAGUGGGCCCUGCAGCUCGCUCUCUUGUUCAGAAAUGGAAGGAGAUGGUGGAAGCAGACGAGAGUGACGAGGGAUGGACAUCAAUAUCAUGAAACAUCAACACAUAACGGCCAUGGCAGCGGAAGAGAAUCAGAUGAUAAUGGAAGGCAGGAUAUAAGAUCCAGUAACACUAAUUCUACCUCUAAAAUGAAUGGUACUAACAGUGGAACGAAGAGGGAAUAUCAGAGUAGCGAGGAUGAAGAGUCUAAUGCAAAAAGGUCAAAAUAUUCGUAUGAUGACCAUAACAAAAAAAGUAGUAAAUCUAGAAAAGAAGAACCUGUGAAAUUAAGAAAAGAUGAUUCUGUUAAAUCGUCAAGAAGAGAACCAGAAUAUGACAGUCAUGAAUCAGAUGCUUCAGAUUCUGACCAGAGUAAUUCUUCAGAGUCUUCUGUUGAAUACAGCAAAAAUAAAAAGCCGGAUAACAAGGAGUCAUCAAGUAAUCACAAAUCGUCAUCUAAACACUCCUCCCACAAUAAUCAUGUUACCGAAAAAAGGGACUCUUCCAGCUCCAAAAAAUCGAGCCAAAAAGAAAGAUACUCUGAACAUCACAGUUCAAGCAGCAAAGAGAGACAUUCAUCUGAAAAAUCAUCAAGUAAAGAGAAGUCUCACAGACACGACAAAGAGAGUUCACACAAACACAAGAGUUCUGAUGAUAAUAAAGAUUCAAUACCUGACAAGAAACAAAAAUCCGAUCAUAAAUUAAGUAGUAAGGAAUCUAAAACUUCAAGUAAACAUAGUAAGUUAGAUGAUAAUAAAUCGCAUAAACAUGACUCCAGUGACAAACAUAAAAGUAGUUCAGAAAAGCAUAUAAGCAAAUCUGACAAACACAGGAGUUCAAGCCAAUUACAAAAUACUGACAAGGAAAAGCAUAAACAACCAGAGCCAGAAGUAACUAAACAUAAAUCAAAGGAUAGUCAUAGCAGUAGUUCCAAGGAGAAACAUAGUUCCUCUAAUAAGGAAAAAUCAAAAGACAAAAAUAAUUCAAGUAGAGAUAAGUCCAGCAGUCACAAUAGUGACAAACAUUCAUCAUCAAGUCACAGUAAAUCAAGUAGUAGUGAACAUAAAAGCAAAUCUGAGAAACAUGAAAUUAAAAGUAGUGAAAAGAAAUCUAGAAGUAAGUCUAGUUCAUCGUCAGAACAUAAAACUGUCAAAUCCAACAGUAAGACGCAGGAAGAUGUACCAAAGAAAAAGGAUAAUGAAAAUCAUGAAGACAGUGACGAUGGAAUCGAUUGUGGUUCAGGUGCCAGUUUCGCUGAGGCUCUUGGCAUGAUAAGCCCUGCAAAACCCAAAAAGAAAUUACCGCACAUUAAAGAUAUACAAUCACCCAAUAGUUCAUUUACUAAUGAUUUGAGUCCAGCUGCCCUAUUAGCGCCUACAGCCAAAUUAGCCCCUCUACCAGCAUUAGAGAUUACUGCUUUGCCAGAAAUUUCACCCAAUUACCGACCAAGGCCGCCUCCAAAGGCCCUAAUGCAUUUCACGGAUGAUGAAGCUCUAAAUGCGGGCAUAUCUUCCAAAAACCAAAGAACCAAAGUUUACUCGGGAAAUAAAGUGAUUGGAAAAAUACCAUCACUUUACGAAAUGUGCGUUCACAUACUUCAGGAACAUAUAGACGCUCUCGAAUUCACCGGUGGGGUGCCAUACAAUAUUUUAAAGCCAGUGGUAGACAGAGCAACACCGGAACAGCUGUUCACGCUGGAGCAUUAUAAUCCGUACCUAAUGGAGGACACCGAUCACCUCUGGCAAAGGUUCUGCGAGAAAAGUUUCAGGAACAAACAACGACGUGAAAUGGAGUCCUGGAGAGAAAUGUAUCUGAGAUGCCAAGAAGAACAAGAACACAGAUUGAAAGCUCUAACAGCCAACAUUAAGAUAACACAGGAAGCGAAAAAAGCUCCAAUCAAACAGACAAAAAUGGCUUAUGUGGAUACUGUUGUGAAGCCCCCACGCAAUAUUGCUAGAAAACAAGCGCUGCACGGCACUGCGCACGCGUCGACAGCGAGUCCGGCCGCCAGGGUGGCGUCGCUCGCGUCUGCGCCGAACGUGGCGCGUGCGGGCUCGGUCCGCCCGCCGCCGCCUGUCACUACAUCGUCCUCUUCUGCCCACAAGCCCAAAAAAGCUCCUCUAAUGCAAAAAGCGCUGCAAUUCAUGCGAGGGCGCAAACGAUGAUGAUUCUGUUACCACUAAUUUAGUCAUUAAUUGUGAUGUUUAUGAGGCGUGCACGCCAUUUUGAGGACCGCACCAAAUGUAAAAUCUUUUCUGCCUGAAUAGGGUAGUCGGCUUUAAUUAUUUUCCUUUUAUCUAAAAUUUACGCAAUACAUACCUAACACAAAGAAGAAGCCCAUUAAAAAAUAAACAAGUUACAGAGUUUUAAAACAAAUGAAAGUGGAAACUCAAAUAACAGAAAAGAGAUAAUAGACAGGUGUGACAAUGCAGAUUGUAAUCAUGCGGGCGUAAGAAAGAAAUACCCAUACCGCGAGCCAACUUUUAUGUAUUGCAAUAUUUGACAUAUGAAUCUCUACCUCAUUUGCUAAUAGUUUUGAUACUAUAUUCAGUUUUUUUUUUUUUGUUUACUAUCUACUGCGUGUAAAAUAAUCUACAAAAUGACAUUUAGACUCAGUAACUACCCUAUUAUCUCAUUAAUAACCAUAGCCAUACCGCCAUUAGUGUGCGUGUAGUGUGUUGGGGUUACGGACUUGAUUCGUACUUCCGGAUGGAUUUUAAAAAAUUACGGCUCAAAUUGGCGUACUCGUCUAGUAAUUAGAAUAGGUAGGUGAUUACUUUCCACAUUGAAUGAAAUAUCUACAAAUUGUUGGAAAUACAUGACUGAUUGAAAUAAUCGAAACUAAAUUAUAGCUCAUUUCAUCCACGAAGACGAACCUCACCAUUUUAUGAGCGUAGUGUGCGUGACGCGUGUGCACUCACGCUGCUCACACACACUGUAAGCGAGUAAUAAAAGUAGGUGAGCGCGUUUUCGUGGAAGAAAUUUUCUAUGUUAUAUUGUAUACUUUUACAAUAAUGAUAUUUAAAUACUAUACACAUCUCACAAAAGGGCAAGAUUUAAUGUGAAAAUAAUAAUAUACUUUCAUAAAUUUUAAUUUUAUUUAUUUAUUACCUCAUUGAUUAUUAUAUUUCUUUGAUAUUUUGUCAAUAUAUAUUUUUUUGUAUUUAUAUAAACUAUGUUAUGUAAUUUAUAACUAUCCUUUUCAACCAAUAUUUCUAAGUCAAUUGGUCGCACUCUUCCUUUUAACUGGAAAAAGUAAAUCGAUAGUUCACAAUAGGGUACCGGACUCAUUUUUGUUCUUUACUUUUAUCAAAUAUUUACAUAAUAUAAAUUAUAACGCAGAAGGAAUUUUUAAAAUCCGGUAAAAAAUCAACAAGUUAUAAGUCUUUGAAUUUCGGUGGAAGGGGUAAUUAACAAGAAACAGAAGAGACGAAAUAUCCACAUGUGACGUCAUCGGGAAUUACGACGCGUGCGAAAGAAAGAGGUGUAGCGAUAUCCCCACAUCGCGCCCACUUCUGCACAUUACAAUAUUUUAAAUAUGAAUUACUCGCUCAUUUUUUAACCAAUUUUUAUGCAGUUUUCGCAAGAGUACUUCUUUUUCAUAUUAUUAACCAUUACAUAUAGAAUAAUAGACAAAAUCAAGCAUAGGCCGGUCCCCUAUUAUGUGGUAAUGAAAUCACGAGUCCCGGUAAGAUAUCCAUAGUAUCUAAAUAUCAUUAACAUACAUGAAUUUUAUUUAACAUCAAUUGCACUGUAAAAUAACUUUUUCCGAUUUAUGUUUAUAUAAAAUCACUAUAAUUUUUAUGGUUGUAGUUAAGCAUAGUCGGUUAGGGUCCAAGACAGCUGCGAUUCAACUUAUGCUGAGUUAUUAUAAAUACAGUUGAUUUUGGUUGAUCUUUAUUAUGAUCUUCGACUAUUUUUGCCUCACGAUUACGCGUAUCGUUAAAAGGGCUGUAGCAUAAGAGUUAAUUACAAAUGUUACACUUGCGCGUCACGUUUUUUUUUAUAGUAUGCAUACUUUUUAAAUAGACAAAAUAAUUAUCGUAGAUCAAGAUAGCAAUGCAAAUAAAUAUUUUAAUUAAAAGUUGUCAUUAAGUUCUCUGAAAGCUGAUGUACUGCAUAAAAGUUUGUAGCAUGACAGAAGCUAGAAUAUAAAAAAGGAAAAAGUAAAUGUGCCAAAGCAGGUUUUUUACUUUCCUGGUCAGUUUAGCUAUUCUGUAAGAUUACACUAUCGACCUCGCAUCGGAAUCCGCAGUGAUAUAGAAAGUGUUGUUUUGCAUCUCUGCUGUAUAGAGUCCAUUGUAACAAUGUAAGUCUUACCUCAAACUGGAUUCCGAAUAUUUAAAUAAAUUAUUUUACGAUCAUUUAGAAUUAACCCCCACGUACAUAUAAAAAUAGGACCCCACGGCAACGCGAAUAGCCCACACACACACACGGACGGCACCAGCUGUUUCCAAUCGACACGGCUAGUCCGCGCGGCCGCGGCGCGCGUCAAAGCACUUGUGUGUGUAUGCUGUGUGGUGCGAAAAUCAUCGUUGCCACACGGAGUGAUUCCCAUUACACGGGUGGUUUUAUUUUAAAUUUAUUUUUAAAAAUGUAAUUUUUGGUACUUAUUUGUUCAUUGAUUCGUGUUCUAUAAGUGAAGUAUACCGACCUCCGUAUAUUUUUGCGGGGAUGCAAAACAUCACCUUGUUACCAUACUAGCGCCACAAGGUGAGUAUGUGAGUAUAUAAGCGGUAUUCUGUAAACAAUGAUAUCUAUUGUCACAUUGACGUUAUCGCAUAAUAUCUCUGGUGAUUUCAGUCACCUCACUUCACGCUGUAGUUUUAUAGAAUUGCAGUACGGGCUAUAAUUCUUUCAACAUGUUUUGAUUGACAUCAGUGUGAACAUGUCCAUUGUGCGAACAAUUCUUAUAGUAUGAAUGAGGCUUUAGGUACAUGUAAAAUUUUAUGGUAAAGUAUAGGUAUUUAAAUUUUUUCUUAUAACACCUAAAGACAUCUCCGAUUGAUUUUUGUAACGCAUAAGUAAUUAACUUUGUUCUACAUUGUAAUACAUAUAUAGCACCUUUAAUAAAAUAAUACUUAUUAUGAAUUUUGAACCUCAAAUAAUGAUAAAGUUUUACUUAUUGUAAAUAAAUCUGUCACAGGUCAUUAUAAUUGUACUUAAUACAAUUGCAAUGACUAUAAUAUUUAAUUGCAGUUAUUAUGGCCGUAAUACACACUGUCAUUAUUAUUACUCAUCUGUUAAAUAAUAUUUUUUGUUCCUUUCGAAACCAAAAAUAGGCAGUGUACAAAAAUGUAAAGUAGGAACAAAUAACUAAUCAAAAUUUUGUAGUAUGUAAGCUCGAAUAUUUGUAAAAAUAGCAUGUUUUAUUUCAUGUAUUGCAGUAAUUUACAUUUCUUAUUCUUCGCUCUUUUUUGUGGGCUAUUUUAACGUAGAUAUAGGUAAUAGAAUGUGUCGUUUGUACCAAAAUAAUCCCACUGCUGUGAUAUGUUUGACAUAAAACAUAGAAUUAUGGUAUACAUGAAUUUUGUUAUUGUUUUAAAAAUACCUUUCAAAGAAGAUCACUACAUGACGUAGGAAUAUUUCCUUUUACAGUUCUUUAUUUCUGAUACUUUAAAAUAUUUGUAUUGGGGUUUUCUCAUAAUAAAUAAUCUACUUAAAAUCAAAUUUGUCGCCCAAUUGGUUUAGUAGAAACCGCAGCACGCAAAUCGGUGGAUUUUUAAAAGCUGGUUGGAUUCCCAGAUAGUACAAUCAAAAUUCAAGAAUUUUAAGUUUUAAAAAUGUGUGGUGUGCAUAAGAUUGGAAUGUUCCCAAUAUGACGAUAGGUUCGCCCACUAUCGUGUUAUACGACGGCAGCAAGAAACUGUGAGUGCUUAAUAGCACAGGUCUAAUCAUACAUGGAUUCAGGGCGUGAGCUUACGUUAAAAUAAAUUAAAUUAGCAAGUAAUUGUAGAAAUAAAACAGUUAUUUCUUCAUCACAAUAUAAUAUCUUUAAACGUCAUUAUGACACAACAUAAUAUCAGUAGAUAUUAUUAUAUCUUAAUACUGUAGGUAUCAAGUUUUAAACACUUUAAAUAUAAUGUAAUUAUUACCAUUCUUGUAGAAUAUAGACAGUAACAUUAUGUCUAUGUCGUAGUAACAUGAAAAUAUUUAAUGAAAUGUUAUUUUUGUAUAAAUUAAACCUAGAAUUCAUCAUGAAUUGUUUGCCUGGUGACUAGAAUAAAAUUUAAAUCGGGUCCUUAAAAUAGUGCUAUUCCUUAAUUUUUUCUUGUUAAUCAAAUGCCAUUAUUUGUACAGAAAAUACACUUCAGAUUUUAUAAA